UACCCUUUGAUUAACUUUAGUCUAAAAUAAUAAUUUUAGGGCAAAAUUUGUCUUUUGCUGAUUUUUUACAAUCAUUUAAUGUUUUCAGUGGGCCAACAACAAUAACUUAUGGAGAAAGCGUGCUCUUUUACAGACCAACCAAACACGCCACCCCCUCCCUUUUCAUUUUCAAUUUUCUACUAUUCCCACACAAUCUUUCUUCUUCUCUCUUCCAUCUUUUCCUUUUCUUCUUUUUUUUAUCUCUUCUGCUACCUUUGAUUUCAAAACCCUAUUUUUCUCUCUUCAUUUCUUCCUUCUGCAUUUCUUCUUCUCUAAAGAAAUCAAAGAAUGAUAAACGGGGUACCAAUCGGAAUAGGGAAUACGGCCGCAGAUCUGUCGUAUUCAGCGAUUUUACGGCGGUGUCUGGUUUCACGAUGAUGGAUCUAUUAUUUUAGGUGUGAAAGUUUGUGAAAUACUUGGAAGUGGAAAAUUAAUGGAAGUUUCAUCUUCUUCCCAACCUAUGAAGAACAGUUGUAGAGGACCAAGGUCAAGAAAUUCAUAGUAUAGAGGAGUUACUUUUUACAGAAGAACAUGUCGAUGGGAAUCUCAUAUGUGGGAUUGUGAAAAACAAGUGUAUCAGGGUUGUUGAAGUGCCUAAUUGCAGCUGGGAAGAUAUCGGUGGUCUCGAAAAUGUUAAGAGGGAACUCUAAGAGACUGUUCAAUAUCCAGUGGAACACCCUGAAAAGUUUGAGAAAUUUGGCACGUCGCCUUCAAAGGGAGUUCUUUUCAAUGGUCCUCCUGGUUGUGGUAAAACACUUUUGGCAAAAGCUAUUGCCAAUGAAUGCCAGGCAAACUUCAUCAGUAUCAAAGGUCCUGAGAUGCUCACAAUGUGGUUUGGAGAAAGUGAGGCAAACGUGAGGGAAAUUUUUGACAAGGCUCGUGGUUCUGCUCCAUGUGUCCUAUUCUUUGACGAGCUUGACUUCAUUGCAACUCAGAGAGGUAGUAGUGUAGGAGAUGCUAGGGGUGCAGCUGACAGGGUUUUGAACCAGCUGCUAACAGAAAUGGAUGGGAUGUCAGCAAAGAAAACUGUGUUCAUCAUUGGCGCUACUAACCGACCUGACAUUAUAGAUCUAGCUCUUCUGCGUCCAGGGCGUUUAGACCAGUUGAUUUAUAUCCCUCUCCCAGAUGAAAAUUCCCGUAGUCACAUAAUUAAAGCUUGCUUGAGAAAAUCCCCCAUCUCAAAAGAUGUCGAUAUUAGAGCUCUUGCAAAUUACACCCAAGGCUUUAGUGGUGCUGAUAUUACUGAGAUUUGCCAGCGUGCAUGCAAGUAUGCCAUUAGAGAGAAUAUUGAAAAGGUACAGUUUUGAGCUUAUCCCUUUUCUAUUGAGGUAUGUUAAUACUCAGCAUUAUUUUUUGUGGCAUUUUAAUUUUUCACACUGUGAUGUCUGGUUUUCUAUUCAACGAAACCGUGAGUUAUGAAAAAAUUGUAAUAGUAAUAGUGAGUGUUUAGAAUUUUUUAUAAAGCAUUGUUUACAAAUUUGAUACUUGAAACUUUCUAACGAAGGGAGCAACUAACCAGAAACUUUCUAAUGGAUAACUCGCCAACAAGAUCGAGAAGAGUAUUGAAAGUGAUAGUGUGACAGGGAAGAAAAUGUGACUGGAUGUUGCCAGGGUGUUAAUGGGGUUUGUUGUUGCAUAUUUUCAAGUCCUACACAAAACAACAAGACUAAAGAGAGAAAAAUCAGCUAGAAUUAGCCCUACAUUGAAAGAGAGUGAUGUUCUCACAGUCCUUGGUGUGCUUGAAGAUGUGGCGGCUGUUGUUGUGGCUUACAAACAUUACAGAAGUCGCACUUCCAAGUAGAAUCAUAUCUCAAGAAAUUCAGCAUAUCUCUUGGAAUGUGGAGAGUAGCAGCACUUCGUCGGCAUGGAAAUUAGUCCUAAGCGAGUGUUGGCAGUCAGCUUUAGUGAAGUAGUAUCGCAGUCAAGGAGUUGUAGUUUUUCUGCAGCCGUAUUCUGUCGCUUUUAAUAUGUUUCUGAUAUGAUUUUCGGUAAUUUUGGAGGCGGGCAAAGCUGUUUUGGUUGGCAUUGUGUCUCAGUUGGGGUGCUGAAAAGAGAGGGAUGGAUGUACUUUUUAGACAACAGUUCCUUGUAUUUUCAUUAGUAGCUCUGGUGUUAUCUUUGUAGUUUGUUUUGGUGUAUUUCUUGACUGGUGUACUUUUGGCUUAGUUGCAACACUGCUUGUGCUUGCAAUUAUUCGGUAAUAAGUUAGUUUUGCCUUUAAAAAAUGUCAAACACAUGUUAUUUGUUACAUAUGUAUGUUUUCUCUAAUAAAAUGAUAAUAAGUAGCCUCUAGAUAUUUCAGUUCAUUUGCAAAUGCUAAGCUAAUUGGUUCUUACAAGCUGCAACUCAACUUCGUUAAUUCCUGAACCAUAAAUCAUUUUUUAGUUGCAUUGGCUAAAACACAAUGACCACUUCUAUGUUUCACGUUCUCUCAAAAUUGUACAUGGUGGUAGCCUAAGGGCAUCUUUCCACUUAGACUUUAAAGGGAGAUGAAAAGAAUGAACGUAUUAGAAAAAUAUUAAUUACAAUGGCCUUCAAAAAUUUUGUU